GUGCUCGCUUCGGCAGCACAUAUACUAAAAUUGGAACGAUACAGAGAUUAGCAUGGCCCUUGGGCAAGAAUAGUGAAAGGAAGCAAAAGAGUUCAAAUGUUUUC